CUACGGGUCGCUGCAGUGAGGAAUAUUGCACAAUGGGGGAACCCUGAUGCAGCAACGCCGCGUGGAGGAUGACGCAUUUCGGUGUGUAAACUCCUUUUAUAUGUCAAGAAAAUGACGGUAGCAUAUGAAUAAGCACCGGCUAACUCCGUGCCAGCAGCCGCGGUAAUACGGAGGGUGCAAGCGUUACUCGGAAUCACUGGGCGUAAAGGACGCGUAGGCGGGUUGGAAAGUCAGGUGUGAAAUCCUACAGCUUAACUGUAGAACUGCACUUGAAACUUCUAAUCUAGAGUAUGGGAGAGGGAGAUGGAAUUAGUGGUGUAGGGGUAAAAUCCGUAGAUAUCACUAGGAAUACCUAAAGCGAAGGCGAUCUCCUGGAACAUUACUGACGCUAAGGCGUGAAAGCGUGGGGAGCAAACAGGAUUAGAUACCCUUGUAGUC
rnacentral:rRNA from 1 species